rnacentral:lncRNA from 10 species
UCUCAGGCCUGCUCAGAUGGUUUAUGACCUUCGCUCCACUGCUUAGAUAAGCAGAAUACUUGAAGUCACUACUUGCAGAGAACAGGAAUCUAUAAACUCAUACCAUAAGAGAAAGGAAAAUUUGUUUUUCUCCUCCCUAUGUUGAGGGAGUGCUAGGAUAGACUUCAGGCCACAUUAGAUAGCAUUAUCAAGACUUUCCCUGGGUCUGGGCUGUGCCUGUUGCUGCUUCUGGGACAAGUCAGCCUAAUACAGGAAAACUUAUUUCUUUUUUUUAAAUUUUCUUUUUCUUUCUUUCUUUAAUUUCCCACCUCAGCGCAUGUCUGGUGAUAGGCACAGGAAGACGCCUAACUUCCUUUCCCUAAUUAGGACGCCACAGUUAGCGGGAACCCGCUUUACAAGUGAAAUAUCCCUGCGUUAUUGAAGCGAACUGGAGUCCCCCACCCAGCACAGCAAAGCCAAACACUGACAUGGGGCUAGCAGCGAGAGAAAAUGAGGAAAUUUUUGAAGGGCACCAAGCAAGGACAUUCAGGCAGCUCAUGCUUCAGGCCUGCACUCCCUGAUGGCUUACAGGGUCUUGCUCUGUCACCUAAACUGGAGUGCAGUGGUGUGAUUAUGGCUCACUGCAGCCUUGACCUCCCAGGCUCGAGCAAUCCUCCCAACUCAGCUUCCUGAGUAGCUGGGACUACAGGUGUGCACCACCAUGCCCAGGUAGUUUUUAAAUUUUUUUUGUGGAGAUCGGGGUCGGGGGGCUUCUCACUAUGUUGCCCAAGCUGGCCUCAAACUCCUGGGCUCAAGCAGUGCUUUCACCUCGGCCUCCUACACUGCUGGGACUACAGGCGUGAGCUACAAC